CACGUAGGCGGCUCGGCAAAUCGGUCGUGGAAUCCCGACGCUUACCGUCGGAACGGCGGCCGAAAAUACCGGGCUCGAGGGCGUGAGGGGUCACUGGAACUCCUGGUGAAGCGGUGAAAUGCGUAGAUAUCAGGAGGAACGCCGGAGGCGAAAGCGAGUGACUGGCGCGUUCCUGACGCUGAGGUGCGAAAGCUAGGGGAGAAC
rnacentral:rRNA from 1 species